ACCUCAAGUUCUCUGGUUUAUAUUUUAUUACAAGAGCCGUGAAAAGUGUGUGUGUGAGAGAGAGAUUGGUGAUGUCUGCUCCUGCGGUGGAGAGUGUAGCCGUCUCGGCUCUCCGGGCGGUGCUCCACCGUGUUCGGCAGGCGGCGGAGAGGUCCCGUCGCGGGCCCGACGAGGUGAGGGUGGUGGCAGUGAGCAAGACCAAGCCUAACUCUCUCAUCCGUCAAGUCUACGACGCCGGUCAUCGCUGUUUCGGCGAAAACUACGUCCAAGAAAUCAUAGAUAAAGCACCUCAGCUUCCUGAGGACAUUGAGUGGCACUUUGUUGGGCAUUUGCAGAGCAAUAAAGUGAAACCACUUUUGGCUGCUGUCCCAAAUCUUGCCAUGGUUGAGGGUGUAGACAAUGAGAAGGUUGCAAAUCAACUUGAUCGUGUAGUUUCAAGCAUUGGAAGAAAGCCCUUGAAGGUUUUAGUCCAAGUGAAUACCAGUGGAGAAACAUCAAAAUCUGGUGUUGAUCCAUCAGGUUGUCUAGAGCUUGUGAAACAUGUUAAGCUCGGUUGCCCAAAUCUUGAGUUCUCUGGCUUAAUGACAAUAGGGAUGCCAGACUAUUCAUCAACUCCAGAGAACUUCAGGUGCCUCCAUAUGAUGAGGAAAACUUCCAUGCUUAACUGCAAUGGAAAUCGGGAUGGAGUCAUUUCUUAUAGACACUAUCAAACUGUAGAACUGAGGUAUGCAAGGUACUUGGAUUGACAGAGAACCACUAUGAGCUGUCCAUGGGCAUGUCUGGCGACUUUGAGAAAGCUAUUGAAAUGGGAAGUACCAAUGUGAGGAUUGGAUCAACCAUAUUCGGACCGAGGGAGUAUCCAAAGAAGCAGCAGAAUCAGUAAUCUUCAUGUAUAUAUCUAUUGAUUGAUGAUUUGACUGCAUUUGCACAAUUCUUGAAUUGAUAUAAUGCAUUUAUCUUUAAAUUUAUACAGUUUGAUCUUUUCCACCAA